UGAAAAUUCAUCCCUCCUGUCACUAGCAUCUGAAGUAACUCUACAACAUGGUAGUUGUAGAAAGCCUGGAGAGCAAGGAGAAGGCACGUACAAAAUCAGAAGAGCUGCUCUGUAGACCGUGGAGAUUAAAGAUGACUUCAAAUGCUUUCUCCGUCCUCACGUCCAGACUGCAAAGAUUCCCUAAGUGACAUUUCUUUCUGUUGUGUCCUGUGACCUCCCAGAAGGAUGCUUAAGGAUCCGGCUCCCUGAAAUCCCGGAGGGUGCAGAGGCUGUAAAUCCAGGCUGGGCCACAAUCCGUUUAAGAACAAGUGGCCGCAGUGCAGAAUGAUCAAACAUAAUGCUGUUAGGAUAAUUCUCCACUGAUUAAAGAAAAAGGUGUAACUUC